UGACUGGGGCGGUCUCCUCCUAAAGAGUAACGGAGGAGCACGAAGGUUGGCUAAUCCUGGUCGGACAUCAGGAGGUUAGUGCAAUGGCAUAAGCCAGCUUGACUGCGAGCGUGACGGCGCGAGCAGGUGCGAAAGCAGGUCAUAGUGAUCCGGUGGUUCUGAAUGGAAGGGCCAUCGCUCAACGGAUAAAAGGUACUCCGGGGAUAACAGGCUGAUACCGCCCAAGAGUUCAUAUCGACGGCGGUGUUUGGCACCUCGAUGUCGGCUCAUCACAUCCUGGGGCUGAAGUAGGUCCCAAGGGUAUGGCUGUUCGCCAUUUAAAGUGGUACGCGAGCUGGGUUUAGAACGUCGUGAGACAGUUCGGUCCCUAUCUGCCGUGGGCGCUGGAGAACUGAGGGGGGCUGCUCCUAGUACGAGAGGACCGGAGUGGACGCAUCACUGGUGUUCGGGUUGUCAUGCCAAUGGCACUGCCCGGUAGCUAAAUGCGGAAGAGAUAAGUGCUGAAAGCAUCUAAGCACGAAACUUGCCCCGAGAUGAGUUCUCCCUGACUCCUUGAGAGUCCUGAAGGAACGUUGAAGACGACGACGUUGAUAGGCCGGGUGUGUAAGCGCAGCGAUGCGUUGAGCUAACCGGUACUAAUGAACCGUGAGGCUUAACCUUACAACGCCGAAG
rnacentral:rRNA from 1 species